UACGGAGGGGGCAAGCGUUAUCCGGAAUUAUUGGGCGUAAAGCGUCCGCAGGUGGCCCUUCAAGUCUGCCGUGAAAGACUGGGGCUUAACCCUGGAAAGGCGGUGGAAACUGGAGCGCUAGAGUGCGGUAGGGGUAGAGGGAAUUCCCGGUGUAGCGGUGAAAUGCGUAGAGAUCGGGAGGAACACCAGUGGCGAAGGCGGCUUGCUGGGCCGGACCUGACGCUGAGACGCGAAGGCGUGGGGAGCGAACGGG
rnacentral:rRNA from 1 species